AACGAACGCUGGCGGCAGGCUUAACACAUGCAAGUCGAACGGGUGUAGCAAUACAUCAGUGGCAGACGGGUGAGUAACACGUGGGAACCUUCCUAGGGGUACGGAACAACUCAGGGACACUUGAGCUAAUACCGUAUACGUCCGUGAGGAGAAGGAUUUAUCGCCCUUAGACGGGCCCGCGUCGGAUUAGUUAGUUGGUGGGGUAACGGCCUACCAAGGCGACGAUCCGUAGCUGAUCUUAGAGGAUGAUCAGCCACACUGGGACUGAGACACGGCCCAGACUCCUACGGGAGGCAGCAGUGGGGAAUCUUGGACAAUGGGCGCAAGCCUGAUCCAGCCAUGCCGCGUGAGUGAAGAAGGUCUUCGGAUUGUAAAGCUCUUUUGCCAGGGACGAUAAUGACGGUACCUGGAGAAUAAGCCCCGGCAAACUUCGUGCCAGCCGCCGCGGUAA
rnacentral:rRNA from 1 species